AUGAAGCGAGGGGGCAGAAGCCGUCCCAUUCAAAGAGAGAGGGGUGAGCAAAAGCAAAUUAACUAUUAUUUACGGCCCCGUCCAUCUGAUAGAAGCCUGGAAAGGGUACAAGCCAAAGUUGCUGAGAAUCAGGCUGACUCCCAAGAAACAAAUAGAGACGAAAUGGCGACAGCACAGAAAGCUGGGAGGAAGGAGCCAGGAGAAGGAGAAUGCCCAAGUACAAAUGUAAACAAUGAGAUAUUACAACAGAUUAAGGGGCUCCAGGAUCUGAUUUUAAACAGCACCCAAGAAAUUACAUCUAAAAUAUCUGGGCUGGAAAAUCAGAUUUGCACUCAACAUCACAGAAAUUGGAAAAAAAAACCCCAAGAUCUGGAUUUGAAGAUCACAGCUACUGAAGCACAGGUGGCAGUGAAUUCAACAGAAAUAAAGCAAUGCCAGGAAAGCCUUCAAAGGAUGGAUUUGAGGGUAAUAAAUUUAAUGGACAGAGAUAGGAGGAUGAAUAUUCGAAUUAGAAAUUUUCCAGAGAUAAACGGAGAAAACCCUGGGAUAUUAAAGAGAGAAAUGAUUAAAUGGAUAAAAGAAAUCUCGCAAACAGACUGUGAGGAAUCUUGGUUUGAGAGGAUUCACAGGGUGGGAUACAAGAAGAAUACCGCUUUUCCUCGGGAUAUUUUGGUCAGAUUUGGAAAUUUCUACUAUAAAGACAAGAUUAUGAAAGUAUUAAGAGGACAGGUAUCCCCAUUAAAAUACCAGGGGACACUAAUACAGAUUUUUCCAGACCUGUGUCCCAAAACCCUGGCAUGGAGAAAAUCUAUUAAGAGAGUCACAACUAUACUACAAAGUCAGAAGAUUCCAUACAGCUGGGGUUAUCCGGUAUACCUGAGGUUUCGCUGGAGAAGCAACAACUACAAAAUUACAUCUUUAGAUCAAGGUCUAGCGUUACUUCAGGAACUGAACUUGACAACUGAGGCAACAGAACCAGUACCGAUGGAGAAGGAAAAAGAAGAGGAAAGGGGGAAGAAAGAUGCAGCAACAGGAGGAGGAGAUUAA
rnacentral:lncRNA from 1 species